rnacentral:lncRNA from 1 species
UUUUAUUUUAUCAUUUGAUUUCCUUGCCCUCGCAGUUAUGUAAAUCUUGAGGCAAAGGAGUUCAAAAGAGGUUCUUAUUUUAUACCUGGACAUUUCACUGAACAUUUUUUCUCAAGCUUUAUAAUUAAGAUUGGAGAACUUGUGGGUAUUUUAAAUAUAUACUAAAAUUUGUCCAAAUAGCCAAAGGCAAAGGGAAUGACCAACUGGGUAGCUGAUGAAUAUUUUCCUGGUAGAUGUACAACAACGUUCCCCACAACUGGGAUGCUUUAUCCUUUGACAUUAAGAAUGCUGUUUGCAGAAGUAACAUUCCUUUGAACACUCAGCGUUCUGAAAUCGUGUCCCGCCGCAAGGACUCAAGUAGGACCGUGCCUUGCAUUGAAGAAGACAGCAUGAUGAGGAAGCUCAAGAAGUAGGAAAACGAAAAUUUAGGAUGUCAGGAUCAUGAGAAACCAUGAAGACGUUUGUAGAAGACCACCAGAUGACAAGAUGGAAAGAAUACUGAUCCCUGUGUCACUAAUUAGAAGAGAGAGAUCAAGAAAUCUACCCAUUCAGAAACAUCCACAUUGGGUUUUGUUAUGAUCAAUGCAUAUUUUAUUAAGUCCCUGAGAUUUUGGGAUUCUUUGUUAUAACAGUUAUACUAUCUUAGACAUUAGAUAGUACAUCCUAUUCUCCACCAAAGCUGUCAGAAUGAGCCUAAUAAAACAUAGGUCAAAUGAAAUCA